UAUACAAAGAGAAGCGACCUCGCGAGAGCAAGCGGACCUCAUAAAGUAUGUCGUAGUCCGGAUUGGAGUCUGCAACUCGACUCCAUGAAGUCGGAAUCGCUAGUAAUCGUGGAUCAGAAUGCCACGGUGAAUACGUUCCCGGGCCUUGUACACACCGCCCGUCACACCAUGGGAGUGGGUUGCAAAAGAAGUAGGUAGCUUAACCUUCGGGAGGGCGCUUACCACUUUGUGAUUCAUGACUGGGGUGAAGUCGUAACAAGGUAACCGUAGGGGAACCUGCGGUUGGAUCACCUCCUUACCUUAAAGAA
rnacentral:rRNA from 2 species